rnacentral:rRNA from 1 species
CACUUCUAAGGAAGGCAGCAGGCGCGCAAAUUACCCAAUCCUGACUCAGGGAGGUAGUGACAAGAAAUAACAAUAAACCGGCUUAUGCCGGUUUAAUUGGAAUGAGUACAAUUUAAACAUCUUAACGAGGAACAAUUGGAGGGCAAGUCUGGUGCCAGCAGCCGCGGUAAUUCCAGCUCCAAUAGCGUAUACUAAAGUUGUUGCAGUUAAAAGGCUCGUAGUUGGAUUUCUGUGGGGACGGAGCGGCCGGCCGCAACACGCGGUUCGAGCUAGCGCUUUCCCUACAUCCUGCCGCGAACCGUGCUACCAUUAGUUUGGUGGCGCCGGGGAUCGGCUCGAUUACUUUGAGAAAAAUAGAGUGUUCAAAGCAGGCCACACGCCUUGAAUAAGUUAGCAUGGAAUAAUAACUAAGGACUUCGGUUCUAUUUUGUUGGUGUUCGGGACUGAAGUAAUGAUUGAUAGGGACAGUUGGGGCGGUCUGUAUUCCAAAGCGAGAGGUGAAAUUCUUAGACCUUCGGAAGACAAACAGCUGCGAAAGCGUUCCGCAAGGAUGUUCCCUUUGAUCAAGAACGAAAGUUGGGGGAUCGAAGACGAUCAGAUACCGUCGUAGUCUCAACUAUAAACUAUACCAGCUAGGGAUCGGCCAACGUUAUUCUAUACCGACUUGGUCGGCACCUUAUGAGAAAUCAAAGCAUCUGGGUUCCGGGGGGAGUAUGGUCGCAAGGCUGAAACUUAAAGGAAUUGACGGAAGGGCACCACCAGCCGUGGAGCCUGUGGCUUAAUUUGACUCAACACGGGAAAACUUACCAGGUCCAGACAUAGUAAGGAUUGACAGAUUGAUAGCUCUUUCUUGAUUCUGUGGGUGGUGGUGCAUGGCCGUUCUUAGUUGGUGGAGUGAUUUGUCUGGUUAAUUCCGUUAACGAACGAGACCCCAGCCUGCUAAAUAGCGCGUGUGAGCUUUGCUCGCAGCGAGCUUCUUAGAGGGACUAUGAUGCGCGAUAGCACAUGGAAGUUUGGGGCAAUAACAGGUCUGUGAUGCCCUUAGAUGUUCUGGGCCGCACACGGGCUACACUGGCGCCUGCAACGAGCAUAUCAGCUGGCCCGAGAGGGUCUUGGCUAAUCUUUUGAACCGGCGCCGUGCUUGGGAUUGACCUUUGCAAUUGUUGGUCAUGCAACGAGGAAUGCCUUGUAAACGCGAGUCAUCAGCUCGCAUUGAAUACGUCCCUGCCCUUUGUACACACCGCCCGUCGCUCCUACCGAUGAAUGUUCCGAUGAAAUUUUCGGAGAGCACCUGUGAACUUGGCUCUGCCUUGCGAACGGGAGGCUCAAAGUCACUUAAAUCUGAACAUUUCG